CGGCUAACUCCGUGCCAGCAGCCGCGGUAAUACGGAGGGAGCAAGCGUUAUUCGGAAUCACUGGGCGUAAAGGACGCGUAGGCGGGUUAUUAAGUCAGAUGUGAAAUCNUAUGGCUCAACCAUAGAACUGCAUUUGAAACUGGUAACCUAGAGUAUGGAAGGGGAAAAUGGAAUUAGUGGUGUAGGGGUAAAAUCCGUAGAUAUCACUAGGAAUACUGAAAGCGAAGGCGAUUUUCUGGGACAUUACUGACGCUGAGGCGUGAAAGCGUGGGGAGCAAACAGGAUUAGAUACCCUGGUAGUCCACGCCCUAAACGAUGAAUGCUAGUCGUCGGAGAGCUCGUCUCUUCGGUGAUGCAGUUAACACAUUAAGCAUUCCGCCUGGGGAGUACGGUCGCAAGAUUAAAACUCAAAGGAAUAGACGGGGACCCGCACAAGUGGUGGAGCAUGUGGUUUAAUUCGAAGAUACGCGAAGAACCUUACCUGGCCUUGACAUUGAUUGAAUCACUCAGAGAUGAGAGAGUGCCCUUCGGGGAACAUGAAAACAGGUGCUGCACGGCUGUCGUCAGCUCGUGUCGUGAGAUGUUGGGUUAAGUCCCGCAACGAGCGCAACCCUCGUCGUUAGUUGCUAACAGUUCGGCUGAGCACUCUAGCGAGACUGCCUUCGCAAGGAGGAGGAAGGUGAGGACGACGUCAAGUCAUCAUGGCCCUUACGGCCAGGGCUACACACGUGCUACAAUGGGGCGUACAGAGAGUUGCGAUACCGCGAGGUGGAGCUAAUCUCAUAAAGCGUCUCUCAGUUCGGAUUGGAGUCUGCAACUCGACUCCAUGAAGCUGGAAUCACUAGUAAUCGUAGAUCAGCAAUGCUACGGUGAAUACGUUCCCGGGUCUUGCACUCNNNNCCCGUCAAUCCCGCGGCCAUGGCGGCCGGGAGCAUGCGACGUCGGGCCCAAUCGCC
rnacentral:rRNA from 1 species